ensembl:lncRNA
CUCUUGCUGGGUGCAGCCUCGUGUCACCCUACAAACAGUUCAUUUCGGGGGACUGGAGGAAGCAAUGGGACGUGACUUUGGUUCGGGUGUUGAAAUACGAAUUGCCUUUCUCUCAUGUUCAGUGCAGUUUCAGGCACGUCCAAGUCCUGCUGGUUGGAAAACAGCUAGCAGGUCGGUGCAGGCUGGAUGGCAGUGAGAAGAGAGCCCGACCGUGGAAGGAAGGCUGAGUUGGCUCUGAAGGAGGGAUGGUGCUACUUGCAGAGGGACCCGCAGGGACACCGUGGGACUGCCCGCAGCACAGCUCCUCUGGCACUGCCUGGGCAGGGAACCCCGCAGUCCAGCACAAGCCAGCUCCCACCAGCACAUCAGCCUCUUGCAGCGUCUGGAUCCGAGCUGUUGCUAAUGAGGAUGGUGCUCAUCAUGUGAUCGUGCCUUUGGGCAAGGGUGGUGGUGCUGCUAAUUGGCUUCUCUGGCUGCGGUUUCCUUAGGAAACAAGGUUAAAGCAACUCACAGCUCAAAAAUGUACCUCCCGGAGGAAGGCGCUUCAUUACUCCUUCCCCUGUAAAUGGAAACAACUCUAUACCUGACGCCGGCCCCUUUCUAUCACCAGGUGGAACCAAAGGAUGUGGGUGCACCUCUGCUAUGAUCUCUCCCGGUGUGUUGGUCCUGCGGCCCAGCCCUGGAUCAACACGUUUUCUAUCUUGUGUAUUUGAUCACCAGAGCUAUGAAAAUUGUGAAAUGAAGUUCUCCCGGCGAAAUCAAAUAGAAAGGAAGUGGCUUUGUAUCAAACCACUGAAUUAACACA